UCGAGAAUUUUUCACAAUGGGGGAAACCCUGAUGGAGCGACGCCGCGUGGAGGACGAAGGCCUUCGGGUCGUAAACUCCUGUCAUGCGGGAACAAGAAAGUGAUAGUACCGCAAGAGGAAGAGACGGCUAACUCUGUGCCAGCAGCCGCGGUAAUACAGAGGUCUCAAGCGUUGUUCGGAUUCAUUGGGCGUAAAGGGUGCGCAGGCGGCGUGGAAAGUUGAGUGUGAAAUCCUGGGGCUCAACCUCAGAACUGCACUCAAUACUCCCAUGCUAGAGGAAUGUAGAGGAGAGUGGAAUUCACGGUGUAGCAGUGAAAUGCGUAGAUAUCGUGAGGAAGACCAGUUGCGAAGGCGACUCUCUGGGCAUUUCCUGACGCUCAUGCACGAAGGCCAGGGGAGCAAACG
rnacentral:rRNA from 1 species